rnacentral:rRNA from 1 species
GGAGUCUCAGAGGGUUCGAUCUGGCUCAGACGAACGCUGGCGGCGUGGAUUAGGCAUGCAAGUCGAACGGGAGUUACGUGUAGCAAUACUAUGUAAAGUCUAGUGGCGUAAGGGUGAGUAACACGUGGGUAAUGUACCCGAUAGUUUGGGAUAACGUUCCGAAAGGGACGCUAAUACCGGAUGUGAUGUUAAACCGCCGGGUUUAACAAGAAAGGUGGGGACCGCAAGGCCUGCCGCUAACGGAACGGCCCGCGACCUAUUAGCUAGUUGGUGGGGUAAAGGCCUACCAAGGCGAGGAUGGGUAGCCGAACUGAGAGGUUGACCGGCCACACUGGGACUGAGACACUGCCCAGACUUCUACGGAAGGCUGCAGUCGAGAAUCAUUCACAAUGGACGAAAGUCUGAUGAUGCGACGCCGCGUGCGCCGAUGAAGGUCUUCGGAUUGUAAAGCGCUUUGAACAGGGAAGAAUGCCGCGUAUUUAAUAGAUAACGCGGAGGGACAGUACCUGACAAACAAGCCCCGGCUAAUUUCGUGCCAGCCGCGGC